CGUAGCAAUACAGGAGCGGCAGACGGGAGAGUAACACGUGGGAACGUACCCUUUGGUUCGGAACAACCCAGGGAAACUUGGACUAAUACCGGAUAAGCCCUAACGGGGAAAGAUUUAUCGCCAAAGGAUCGGCCCGCGUCUGAUUAGCUAGUUGGUGAGGUAACGGCUCACCAAGGCGACGAUCAGUAGCUGGUCUGAGAGGAUGAUCAGCCACAUUGGGACUGAGACACGGCCCAA
rnacentral:rRNA from 1 species